GCUUAGCCCUAAACCCUAAUAGUUACAUUAACAAAACCAUUCGCCAGAGUACUACAAGCAACAGCUUAAAACUCAAAGGACUUGGCGUUGCUUUAUAUCCCUCUAGAAGAGCCUGUUCUAUAAUCAAUAAACCCCAAUACAUCUCACCACCUCUUGCCCCCAGUCUAUAUACUGCCAUCUUCAGCAAACCCUAAAAAGGUUAUAAAGUAAGCACAAGUACACACAUAAAAACAUUAGUUCAAGGUUUAGCCCAUGAGGUGGCAAGAAAUAGGCUACAUUUUCUAUGUUCAGAAACUCUCACAACAACCUUUAUGAAAUCCAAGGGCUCAAGGAGGACUUAGCAGUAAACCAAGAGCAGAGUGCUUGAUUGAAUAAGGCCAUGAAGCACGC
rnacentral:rRNA from 1 species